rnacentral:rRNA from 1 species
ACGCUCGACACCUACGGGAGGAGCAGUGGGGAAUAUUGCACAAUGGGGGAAACCCUGAUGCAGCAACGCCGCGUGAAGGAAGACGGUUUUCGGAUUGUAAACUUCUGUUCUUAGUGAAGAUAGUGACGGUAGCUAAGGAGCAAGCCACGGCUAACUACGUGCCAGCAGCCGCGGUAACUGAGCGGGCUGGCAAGGC